rnacentral:lncRNA from 1 species
CUUGUUCAUUGGUCUUCUCUAUUUCUUCUUCUGUAGCAGCCUUGUCUGCCCAGUUCUUACUGAGAGUCAGCGCGUCCAUCAGGUCUUCGUAAGUGUACCCUCGAACUGCCACACAGCCUGUAAGUAGCAAACACUAGAAAUAUCAGAAACUCCGUCAUGUGAUUAUUCUUCAUCUUUGUUGUGUCCUCGGCGAUAUCUGAUACUUCUGGAGCUCUCAGCGACAGACCGUGUGUAUCAAUAUGCAUUUGCGCCAAUCAGAUUGACAGGCAUAUUUUUGUUAUAUUUUGUGUUGUACCCGGGUGCUUAAUCAAUUCAAUGUUUCUGGGUGUUCACGUCUCAUUCUUGGUAACCCACGGAAACAGGCAAGGCAGCUUCAAUUGCCACCCGGUAAAACCGGAGAAAUAUCUUACUGCGGGUUUCGUCGUGGGCUGCCAUUAGAAGGGUGUAUCUCUGCGUUGGCUCAAAAACGGGCAGUACAAGCGACUCCCUAGAGAAGGGUACUUCUACUUACUUGAAGGAACUGGCGCGCUGAACUGAGCGAUGAAGCUGAGGAUCAUGAUGAGCCCAUGAAUCCCCAAGACGGCUCGAACUCCGUGUUCUGACGGACAAACCACCGUUCCUGUUCUUGUCAUGUUGUAUGCCCACAACUCGUAGCUGGUGAAAACAGUAGCACAGACGCCAGCACCGAGGAGCGGUCCGACAGAAUACGCAUUCUGGAAGUUGGCGAAAUCUUUGAGUUGCUCAAUGGGGUCUCGAGAAGUGAGUAAGGUCCAGUUCAGCAAGGUCUCGGCCGCGCAGGACACUAGGCCAGUUAAGACAUGAGUCAAGUAGAAGGACGGCAAAUCGGUGCCGACAGCAGCGGCAAGAAUAAGAAGGAACGAAGCGUGCAGAAAGAGCAUAAGCCGUGUUGCAGUUGUAAAGCUUGUCUUGAGCAUAAUCACGGGAAGUACCGCCGCCCCAAGAAGUUGCACAAGAGCGUGGAGGCUUGCUGCCAAUCCUGAAAGCACCGGACACAUCAAGGUAAGUCCAGCGCAUGACGUCGCCUAAGUUCAUAUAAACGAAGUCACUAGUCUCAUCCGGAGACUGCAUCAUGUAUCCUGUGACUGUCAGGCUCAAUUUGUGCUCAGAAUGGUUUUGGAACCUUUCUUCCUUGACAUUGCUGCC